GACAUACGGUAGCAAGCCGAAUGUCGUUCAGUCGGCCGUAGGUCGGUCGGCAAGUCGUGGAUGCGACUAAGGUCGCAUUGUGCGAUAGACGGUGGCUAGCCGAAUAUCCCUCGACCGGCCGUAGCCUGGUCGGAAGUCGCGACGCAAGUCGCGCAGGCUUUUCGCCUAUCUUUGGUCGGGGCCCGAUCAGCAUGUUAGCCGAUGGUCUGGCCCGAGAGUUCGACCGUAGAAGGAGCGCCAGCUCCCGUCAUUGUAGAUGCAUCGGUCCUAGUAAGGGUCCGAUGUCUCGUCGAAAGUCGAAGGAGCACUACUCCCGUUGAUAUGAAUACAUCGGUCCUGGUAAGGGUCCGAUUCAUCAUUGAUUGUCGAAGGAGUGUCAACUCCCGUUCUUGUAGAUGCGUCGGUUUUAGGUGGAUGCUAGGUCCUCGUCAAUACGUUGGGGCUUUGGCGAGCGCCGAUCGUUAGUCGAAGAGUUGAGACUCCGAGAUUUCAAACCGACUUUGUAUUCCGACUACUGAAUUACAAAAUUCACUGGCAAUACAGCUUCAGGUUGUCGGCGUUCCAAGUCUGGGGAACGGGCUUCCCCUCAAGGGUCUCCAGCCGAUAGGCUCUCGGCCCGUAGGUGUCUACAACCUUGUAGGGCCCUUCCCAGUUUGGAGCCAACUUCCCCUGAUCCAAGGGCUUCGAGACCUCCGCCUUCCUCAAGACCAAGUCACC
rnacentral:lncRNA from 1 species